rnacentral:rRNA from 1 species
UAGGGAAUCUUCCGCAAUGGACGCAAGUCUGACGGAGCAACGCCGCGUGAGUGAAGAAGGAUUUCGGUUCGUAAAACUCUGUUGUUAGAGAAGAACAGCGCAUAGAGUAACUGUUAUGCGUGUGACGGUAUCUAACCAGAAAGCCACGGCUAACUACGUGCCAGCAGCCGCGGUAAUACGUAGGUGGCAAGCGUUGUCCGGAUUUAUUGGGCGUAAAGCGAGCGCAGGCGGUCAAUUAAGUCUGAUGUGAAAGCCCCCGGCUCAACCGGGGAGGGUCAUUAGAAACUGGUUGACUUGAGUGCAGGAGAGGAGAGUGGAAUUCCAUGUGUAGCGGUGAAAUGCGUAGAUAUAUGGAGGAACACCAGUGGCGAAGGCGACUCUCUGGUCUGUAACUGACGCUGAGGCUCGAAAGCGUGGGUAGCAAACAGG